rnacentral:lncRNA from 1 species
UAUGUUAACAAAGAUAUUACUAAAGGUAUUUAGCCUUCUUGUAAUGCACAACACACAAGUGAUGGCGUCCCAUCAAACUUCUAUCACACAGACAGAUAGUCCUUGUGUCCCCUAUAAGUAGGGUUGUUCAUCUCAGUUAGAGUAAAAAAAAAUAUGAGAGAAGUUCAGAAAUCAACUAACAAUGAUUGUCUUUUGAUGAAUGAGACAUUCUAGGUUCAGAAAUGAAUACAUAGCAAAGGUACUAAUUCCGAUGAAAAGAAUAAUUGAUAAUGAUAUUGUAAGCAAAAGUAUCAUUCUAUAACUCAUGAGAGAGAAGAUAUAAUUUCUAAUAAAAAUCUCUAUGAAAAGAUGUCAAAAUCGAUAGAUUUCAAAAGUGCUAGGUUCGAUGAAAAGAAUAGUCAAAAAAAGAUACAAUAACCAUAAGCAUCAUUUGAUAACUUACGCAAAAGAGAAACUGAUACUUCAUCAAAUACCUCUAUGAAAGAGAUAUCAAAACAAUUCACUAAGGCGAAAAAUAAUCAAUAUAAUCAACGAAUGAGGAAGGUAUUACCAAGAUUUUCACAGAUGCCUUCUUGACUGAUUCCUCUGGCUCGUUUCGAUUCUAGCAGUUCUUCUCGAUGUUCUAAUAUUCUGGCCGAUUCGUACACGACUCCAAAGAUUCCACCACCGCUAUCUACUUUAGUAAAAAGUCCUAUCCAGCUUGACACGAUAAGAAGCCAUCUUCAACUUUAUACAAUCAACAUUGUAGAGCGUUGACGUUCUAGCCUACUCAUAGCACUAUAUCUAGUAUUUUAACACGAAAUCUAUAUAAGCUCUCAAACCGAGAACUAUAUACCUUUCUUACUCUGACCCAACAAUUCUCAUACUUAUUUUAUAUGUCUCUAUAGAAACAAUAGAUGACCCUCGAACAAACACUCAAAAGUGGUAGAGAUGACAAGGAACAUUCUAGACUAGAUAGGUUUCUCCACAAGUCUAGCUGGCAAUGGUUAGUCAGAAAGUCAACAUCAAGCUCUGAGAGAUUGGCAACUAAAGGUGUACUAAUGUUUCUCUUGAGAUCCAAACUCACUAGCUCUAGAUAUGGAAACUAGGAUAUACCCAAAAUGAUUACUCAGAAUCAUUACUCCAAACUCAGUCUCAGUUCCAUCAACAAAGACUAUAACCAAUAGUCUUGACUUACCUCUAUAUGAGGUUCCACUAAACAAAAUCCUAUCACACUCUACAUUCUGAUUUCAAUAACUUAUAACC